UUGACUUGCAAAGGAAGAAUCGCUUUCAGGUUCAGCCAUCUUUUGCCACAGCUAAGCCAGAAGGGGAACUUGGAAGCUGAAGACCCGGAGAGGAGCAUCUGCUUGGCGGAAGCCAGGUGUUUUGGUUUGUUUGUUUUAAGGGAGUCCUUUUCUACUUCAGUUUCCCCUUCUCAGGACUUAGAUUCACAGUCCCUUCCGCUCAUGGCAGACACGCGUGCUCUCAGUCAUUUGCUAAGAAGACAGCGCAGCAUGUGUCUGCCUUGUGAUUACAAAUGUGCAGGGAGCACGCACCUGCCUCCAACACUCUGUUGCAUUAAGAGAGAACUCACAACCGGCCCUGGGCUGGGGCCAGCCCAUCCACAUUUCAGCAGAAGAAGACAAGAUGCUUGCUUGGUCCUGGACCUCCAGAACAAGCUGAGAACACCAGCUAGUCCCCAACUCCACGCUCUUGAGAGUCAGCUGCUGAUGCCACCUGGAGCCCACAGAGCUGGUCAGCUGAAUGAACUACGUGGUGAGGAAGAUCUCUGAUCAGUAGCCAAAUAAGGCUCUGAAAACCCUCGAGGAGAGAGACACAGCCAGAGAGGAAACACAAGCAGGGGGAGUUGGAGAAGCAGGCUCCCCACUGAGCAGGGAGCCUGAUGCGGGGCUCGAUCCCAGGACCCUGGGACCAUGACCUGAGCCGAAGGCAGAUGUUCAACGACUGAGCCCCCCAGGCGCCCCCAUCUCAAAAUUUCUGGGCAGUUUCUUUCCUCCAGUAAGUUGACAGCUGCUCACAUAUGUUGAUGCAGGAAAGCUGGAUGGAAAGUCCUAGGAUCUGCCCACCAGCAGACAGGAGAUAUCCUCUGCCUUAACAUGGUCUACUUUUUCUAUCUUAUCU